AACGCACAUUGCGCCCGCCAGUAUUCUGGCGGGCAUGCCUGUCUGAGCGUCAUUUCAACCCUCAUGCCCCUAGGGCGUGGUGUUGGGGAUCGGCCAGCGCCCGCGAGGGACGGCCGGCCCCUAAAUCUAGUGGCGGACCCGUCGUGGCCUCCCCUGCGAAGUAGUGAUAUUCCGCAUAGGAGAGCGACGAGCCCCUGCCGUUAAACCCCCAACUUUCUAAGGUUGACCUCAGAUCAGGUAGGAAUACCCGCUGAACUUAA
rnacentral:misc_RNA from 1 species